GACGUAGGUGGCGAACGUUAUCCGGAAUUAUUGGGCGUAAAGGGUGCGUAGGCGGCAUGAUAAGUUAUUGGCGGUAAAUCGAGGCUCAACCUCGUGGAAACUGAUAAUACUGUCUUGCUUGAGUGCAGAAGAGGUUAACGGAACUCCAUGUGGAGCGGUAAAAUGUGUAGAUAUAUGGAAGAACAUCAAUAACGGCGAAGGCAGUUAACUAUUCUGCUACUGACGUUGAGGCACGAAAGCGUGGGGAGCAAAAAGG
rnacentral:rRNA from 1 species